rnacentral:rRNA from 1 species
UACGCUGGCGGCACGCCUAAUACAUGCAAGUCGAACGAAGUAGCAAUACUUAGUGGCAGACGGGUGAGUAACAUGUAGGUAUCUUCCCUAUGGUGAGGAAUAACACGAGGAAACUUGUGCUAAUACCUCAUAAGUCUUUACGGAGAAAGCUUUAUGCGCCAUUGGAUGAGCCUGCACUUGAUUAGUUUGUUGGUGGGGUAAUGGCCUACCAAGACAAUGAUCAAUAGCUGAUUUGAGAGGAUGAUCAGCCACAUUGGGACUGAGACACGGCCCAAACUCCUACGGGAGGCAGCAGUAGGGAAUCUUGCACAAUGGGGGAAACCCUGAUGCAGCGAUGCCGCGUGAGUGAAGAAGGCCUUUGGGUUGUAAAGCUCUUUCGUCGGGGAAGAAAAUGACUGUACCCGAAUAAGAAGGUCCGGCUAA